AAAACCGACACAGGUGGGCGAGAUGAGUAUUCUAAGGCGCUUGAGAGAACUCGGGAGAAGGAACUCGGCAAAUUGGUACCGUAACUUCGGGAUAAGGUACGCCCCUGUAGCCUGACUGGCCUGCGCCAGAAGGGUGAAGGGGUUGCAAUAAACUGGUGGCUGCGACUGUUUAAUAAAAACACAGCACUCUGCAAACACGAAAGUGGACGUAUAGGGUGUGACGCCUGCCCGGUGCCGGAAGAUUAAAUGAUGGGGUGCAAGCUCUUGAUUGAAGUCCCGGUAAACGGCGGCCGUAACAAUAACGGUCCUAAGGUAGCGAAAUUCCUUGUCGGGUAAGUUCCGACCUGCACGAAUGGCGUAACGAUGGCCACACUGUCUCCUCCCGAGACUCAGCGAAGUUUAAGUGUUUGUGAUGAUGCAAUCUCCCCGCGGCUAGACGGAAAGACCCCAUGAACCUUUACUGUAGCUUUGCAUUGGACUUUGAACCGGUCUGUGUAGGAUAGGUGGGAGGCUUUGAAGCGUGGACGCCAGUCUGCGUGGAGCCAACCUUGAAAUACCACCCUGGUUUGUUUGAGGUUCUAACCUUGGUCCGUAAUCCGGAUCGGGGACAGUGCAUGGUAGGCAGUUUGACUGGGGCGGUCUCCUCCCAAAGUGUAACGGAGGAGUACGAAGGUACGCUAGGUACGGUCGGAAAUCGUGCUGAUAGUGCAAUGGCAUAAGCGUGCUUAACUGCGAGACCGACAAGUCGAGCAGGUGCGAAAGCAGGUCAUAGUGAUCCGGUGGUUCUGUAUGGAAGGGCCAUCGCUCAACGGAUAAAAGGUACUCUGGGGAUAACAGGCUGAUACCGCCCAAGAGUUCAUAUCGACGGCGGUGUUUGGCACCUCGAUGUCGGCUCAUCUCAUCCUGGGGCUGUAGCCGGUCCCAAGGGUAUGGCUGUUCGCCAUUUAAAGAGGUACGUGAGCUGGGUUUAAAACGUCGUGAGACAGUUUGGUCCCUAUCUGCCGUGGGCGCUGGAUAUUUGAAGGGGGCUGCUCCUAGUACGAGAGGACCGGAGUGGACGAACCUCUGUUGUACCGGUUGUCACGCCAGUGGCAUCGCCGGGUAGCUAUGUUCGGAAGAGAUAACCGCUGAAAGCAUCUAAGCGGGAAACUCGCCUUAAGAUGAGAUAUCCCCGGGGCUUCGAGCCCCUUGAAGGGUCGUUCGAGACCAGGACGUUGAUAGGUCAGGUGUGGAAGCGCAGUAAUGCGUUAAGCUAACUGAUACUAAUUGCCCGUAAGGCCUUAA
rnacentral:rRNA from 1 species